rnacentral:rRNA from 1 species
UACCAGCACCCCGAGUGGUCGGGACGUUUAUUGGGCCUAAAGCAUCCGUAGCCGGUUCUGCAAGUCUUCCGUUAAAUCCACCUGCUUAACAGCUGGGCCGCGGAAGAUACUAUAGAGCUAGGAGGCGGGAGAGGCAAGCGGUACUCGAUGGGUAGGGGUAAAAUCCGUUGAUCCAUUGAAGACCACCAGUGGCGAAGGCGGCUUGCCAGAACGCGCUCGACGGUGAGGGAUGAAAGCUGGGGGAGCAAACCGG